ACAGAUAUUGAUAAUGGUGCUGAUACAGAUAUUGAUGCGGAUAUUGAUAUUGAUGCUGAUGAGGAUGCUGAUGAGGAUGCUGAUGAAGAUGAGGAUGAUGCUGAUGAUGAAACAAAAAAAGUCAUUUAAUAUUAGGAAGAAUGAUGGUAAUAAUAUAAGUAAACGUGGUUUGGGUGAUGUACCUAACAUAAAUGAUAAAAAAAAUUCACAGGAUAAUAAUAACAAUGAUGAAAAUGAUGAAGAUAAGAAAUAUGUUCCUGAUGAUGGUGAUACACAAGAACCGGGAGAAGAAUCAGGAGAAGAAUCGGACAAUCAUAAUAAUGAUACAGAUGAAUCAAAUGAUUCUGACACAUCUGAGAAAGAUGCUGAUAUACAUGAGGAAGUAGAUGUUGAUAUGUAUGAGGGAGAAGAUAUGGAUACAUUUGAUGAAGAAGAUGUUGAUAUAUCUGAUGGAGAAGAUAUAGAUAUAUCUGAGGGAGAAGAUAUAGAUAGAUUUGAUGAAGAAGAUAUUGAUACAUCUGACGAAACAGAUGUUGAUACAUCUGAGGAAAAAGAUGAUAUAUCGAAAGAAAAAGAUGUUGAUAUAUCGGAGGAAAUAGAUGUUGAUACAUUUGAUGAUGUAGAUGUUGAUACAUUUGAUGAAGAAGAUCCUGACAAAUAUGAGGAAAGUGCUGAUAAAGCUGAGGAAGGUGUUGAUAUAGUUGAUAAAGCUGAAAAAGAAGAUGCUGAUAAAACUGAUAAAGAAGAUGCUGAUAAAACUGAUAAAGAAGAUUCUGAUAAAGCUGAUAAAGAAGAUGCUGAUAAAGAUGAUGCUGAUAAAGAUGAUGCUGAUAAAGAUGAUGCUGAUAAAGAUGAUGCUGAUAAAGAUGAUGCUGAUAAAGCUGAGAAAGAAGAUGCUGAUAAAGCUGAGAAAGGUGAUGAUGAAGAGAGAAGUGGUAAAACGAAAGUAAUUUCAGAUCCUGACGCAUUUGAAAAAAACAAAUACGCAAAUGUAUUUAAUUAUGAAAUAGAUAUAGAUAUACCUGAAGAAGAAAUAGAAUUUUGUUAUAAAGAUUUAAAAUUUUUAUUGAAUGAACAUAUUUUAUCAUAUGAUGAUUUGACUGAUGAAGAAAUACAAACAUUAGCAGGUCCAAGUGACUUAUUCUAUCAAAUAUCACCAUACACAGAUGAUGAAAAAAGUUUAAGUUUUAAUGAAGGAGCUAGUUUGGUAAAUGAUCAACAUCAGAAUAAUUUAAAAAAAUAUGGAAGAUAUCAUUUAAG
rnacentral:lncRNA from 1 species